rnacentral:rRNA from 1 species
UACGGGCUAAUUCUGUCAACGGUUGUUUGCUUUUCAUGAAUGUUCAAUCCUAUAUGCCUAGUUUCAAGUGGCAUAUAAAGAUGAAAGCGCGAACGGCUCAGUGCAACAGUUAUCAUAUACUUGGCCUUGAAAUCCCAUGGAUAGUUUUGAUAAUUCUUGAGCUGUUACAUGUACCGGAGCUCAGAAUUUUUGGACGAAUAUGUUAGUUAGAUUGAACCCGAUCCCUUCAGCUAGCAACUCCCAGUAAUUGGUGAUUUGGGUAGCUAUAGAUGAUCGCAUGCUCUCGAAUGGGUUACGUGCAUUAUCGACUGUUUGUGGUAGGUUACUUCCCCUUGAUGAACAGCAGAAUCAAGAUUGGACACGGGAGAGGAGAUCCGAGAAAUGGCCGCCACGUCCAAGAAGGAUAGCAGACGGAGUUCACAUUGAGUAUUUCCGAGGUCAAGGUUGAGAGAAGCGAAUGAAAGCAUCCUUCUUGCUGCUGAGAUGUGAGAUUCUGUGGCUGCAGAGAGGCGCCCAACUGCGAGUAUGUUUGCCGAGAAUGUCUUCAUUUAUCAAGAAGGAAGGUCAGAGAUUCGACAUCGAUCAAAUACCCUAAUCGAUAGCAACUGGCGCUCCGUCGGCGGCAAAUGCGUCAUGAUAAAGAGUUUACCUGGAAUGAGCGUCUUUCGGUUCAGAAGGAUGUAUGACUGCAAAGCUGACACUUGAAGAAUGUAAGAAGAGGCUAAUGCCAUGAGUUUAGCCUCUCUUUAGUUUGAUCAACAUGGAAAAACUGAAAUUGCACUGAUAUUGGCAGGACUCACGGAUUCUUGACUCUAUGGUUGGCGGAACACGACAGUUCUUAGUUGGUGGAGCGAUUUGUCUGGUUUAUUUCGAUAAGAAGUGUGAUUCUAGCCAACUAAAUAUUCAUCACAUGAACAAGUCUAGAGACCUCUUGGAAUGACAAACCGCAUUAAGUUGCGCAAUAAUAGGCCUCUGAUGCCCUCAACUAUUCAGGGCUGCGCACGCGUUAGUGGAGAAUUAGUGCGCUGUAAUCACUGUCGCAACGUACCGGUAACAGCUCGAUCAUCCUUUGCAAGGAGUUGCAAUUAUUACCUCUGACCAAGGGAAUCGUCGUGAGGACGAAUUAUUGCUCUUGUUGAUUAUGUUCUUGCCCUUAGUGCACACAGCCUGUCGCUGCAUAAGUCUAAGCCCGUUAAAGAAAAGAGCUAUUGCUGCUUCUAGACCAUUUGAGGUGCUUUUUGUUCAUCUACUUAACCGCAAUGGCUUGAACCAGGCAAAAGCAAAGGCAAAUUCUCAGUAAAUGAACAUGAAAAAGGUCCUCA